rnacentral:rRNA from 1 species
UACGUAGGGGGCAAGCGUUGUCCGGAAUCAUUGGGCGUAAAGCGCGUGUAGGCGGCCACGUUAGUCCGUUCUGAAAGCCCGGGGCUCAACCCCGGGAGGCGGAUGGAUACUGCGUGGCUCGAGUCCGGAAGAGGCGAGUGGAAUUCCCGGUGUAGCGGUGAAAUGCGCAGAUAUCAGGAGGAACACCAAUGGCGAAGGCAGCUCGCUGGGACGUGACUGACGCUGAGACGCGAAAGCGUGGGGAGCAAACAGG